rnacentral:rRNA from 1 species
CGUACAAGCAGUGGGAGCCCCACCACUAAGCCAGUGGUGAACUCCACAUACGCAUCCUUUGCUGAGGAUACGGUUAACGGAGCGAAAGCGACGUUCAACCGCAAAAGAAGCAGAGGGGGCUUAGUGGUGGGGUGACUGCGUACCUUUUGUAUAAUGGGUCAGCGACUUAUAUUCUGUAGCAAGGUUAACCGAAUAGGGGAGCCGGAGGGAAACCGAGUCUUAACCGGGCGUUAAGUUGCAGGGUAUAGACCCGAAACCCGGUGAUCUAGCCAUGGGCAGGUUGAAGGUUGGGUAACACUAACUGGAGGACCGAACCGACUAAUGUUGAAAAAUUAGCGGAUGACCUGUGGCUGGGGGUGAAAGGCCAAUCAAACCGGGAGAUAGCUGGUUCUCCCCGAAAGCUAUUUAGGUAGCGCCUCGUGAAUUCAUCUCCGGGGGUAGAGCACUGUUUCGGCUAGGGGGCCAUCCCGGCUUACCAACCCGAUGCAAACUGCGAAUACCGGAGAAUGUUAUCACGGGAGACACACGGCGGGUGCUAACGUCCGUCGUGAAGAGGGAAACAACCCAGACCGCCAGCUAAGGUCCCAAAGUCAUGGUUAAGUGGGAAACGAUGUGGGAAGGCCCAGACAGCCAGGAUGUUGGCUUAGAAGCAGCCAUCAUUUAAAGAAAGCGUAAUAGCUCACUGGUCGAGUCGGCCUGCGCGGAAGAUGUAACGGGGCUAAACCAUGCACCGAAGCUGCGGCAGCGAACGUAUCACUUAAAGCGAUUCAGCGGGUUACGAUUGACGGAGCGAAGCGACGUCAAAGCGUAUACAAAGUCGAGUCGGUUUAAGGAUACGUUCGUUGGGUAGGGGAGCGUUCUGUAAGCCUGUGAAGGUGGCCUGUGAGGGUUGCUGGAGGUAUCAGAAGUGCGAAUGCUGACAUAAGUAACGAUAAAGCGGGUGAAAAGCCCGCUCGCCGGAAGACCAAGGGUUCCUGUCCAACGUUAAUCGGGGCAGGGUGAGUCGACCCCUAAGGCGAGGCCGAAAGGCGUAGUCGAUGGGAAACGGGUUAAUAUUCCCGUACUUGGUGUUACUGCGAAGGGGGGACGGAGAAGGCUAUGUUGGCCGGGCGACGGUUGUCCCGGUUUAAGCGUGUAGGUGUGUGUUCCAGGUAAAUCCGGUUCACUUUAACACUGAGGCGUGAUGACGAGGCACUACGGUGCUGAAGUAACAAAUGCCCUGCUUCCAGGAAAAGCCUCUAAGCAUCAGGUAACAUCAAAUCGUACCCCAAACCGACACAGGUGGUCAGGUAGAGAAUACCAAGGCGCUUGAGAGAACUCGGGUGAAGGAACUAGGCAAAAUGGUGCCGUAACUUCGGGAGAAGGCACGCUGACACGUAGGUGAAGUGAUUUACUCAUGGAGCUGAAGUCAGUCGAAGAUACCAGCUGGCUGCAA